GAGGACUUAAAUGAUAUUAAUCCCAGAUUAUCGACGAUGAUUUAAAUGUGCCAUUUUUCUCCUUUCGGAUCCAGCCAGUGUUAUGAUCCAU